rnacentral:sRNA from 4 species
AUGUACCCACGUACACUCCGGUUCCUCCGCGCCGUCCGCACCCGCCUGACGACUGCUCGCUACGUUUUGUUAGCC